rnacentral:rRNA from 1 species
GAUGAACGCUGGCGGCGUGCCUAAUACAUGCAAGUCGAGCGAACAGACGAGGAGCUUGCUCCUCUGACGUUAGCGGCGGACGGGUGAGUAACACGUGGAUAACCUACCUAUAAGACUGGGAUAACUUCGGGAAACCGGAGCUAAUACCGGAUAAUAUAUUGAACCGCAUGGUUCAAUAGUGAAAGACGGUUUUGCUGUCACUUAUAGAUGGAUCCGCGCCGCAUUAGCUAGUUGGUAAGGUAACGGCUUACCAAGGCAACGAUGCGUAGCCGACCUGAGAGGUUAUUCGGCCUCACUGAACUUGGGCACCGUUCCCAAUCCUUCCGGAAGCCCCCGUUGGGGAUUCUUCCGCACGGGGCGAAAUCCUGCCGAAGCAACGCGGCCUGGGUAUGCAGGUCCUUCGGUUCUUAAAACUCUGUAAUUAGGGAAAAACAAAUGUGAACGUAACGAGCCACGUCUGGACGGUACCUAAUCAAAACGCCACGGCUACCUACGU